rnacentral:rRNA from 1 species
AUGCACGACGCGGCUCCUCUGGCCCAUGGCAGGAGGCCAUGGCGGGCAGACGGCGUAGGAGGAGAGACUGCAGGGGCACCGGGGUUGGCGCAGUCGGAGGCCAGGGCCGCGGGGCGGAGCUUGGCGGCGUCUUCGGUAGCAGGGAGGCGCGUCACUGGCGACCGACGUGAGGAGGAGGCCGGGGAAGGAAGGCCAUGGCACCAAGGGGAAGGAGGCAUAGAGGCAGGACUUGCCGGCGGUGGUGCCAAGGAGGUGGAGCAAGAGGCGUGGCCGCGGCCUGGCACUUCAGAGGGAGGAGCGCCAUGGGUUCGGGACGAGGAGGCGGGCUAG